rnacentral:rRNA from 1 species
AGUGAACGCUGGCGGUAGGCCUAACACAUGCAAGUCGAACGGCAGCACAGUAAGAGCUUGCUCUUACGGGUGGCGAGUGGCGGACGGGUGAGGAAUACAUCGGAAUCUACUUUUUCGUGGGGGAUAACGUAGGGAAACUUACGCUAAUACCGCAUACGACCUACGGGUGAAAGCAGGGGAUCUUCGGACCUUGCGCGAUUGAAUGAGCCGAUGUCGGAUUAGCUAGUUGGCGGGGUAAAGGCCCACCAAGGCGACGAUCCGUAGCUGGUCUGAGAGGAUGAUCAGCCACACUGGAACUGAGCCACGGUCCAGACUCCUACGGGAGGCAGCAGUGGGCAAUAUUGGACAAUGGGCGCAAGCCUGAUCCAGCCAUACCGCGUGGGUGAAGAAGGCCUUCGGGUUGUAAAGCCCUUUUGUUGGGAAAGAAAAGCAGCAGGUUAAUACCCCGCUGUUCUGACGGUACCCAAAGAAUAAGCACCGGCUAACUUCGUG